rnacentral:lncRNA from 1 species
AACAGCGAGUUGGCAACAGAUCUGCUGUGAAAGUUGUGAUACUUUAAAGGACAAAUAUUCUGCUGUGCUUUUCAAAACUUCAAAACAGGUGAAAGGGAAGAACAGUGAUUCCCCUUCUCUGUCCAUUCACACAUGGCAAGAAAAGAUGAAAAAGAAAGUGCAGGCUAAAGUAUUUACACACACUGAUGAAUUGUGAAUAAAUUAAAAACUACGCAAAUCAAGAUGAUGAUUCCCAAUGACAACAAAAUGGGCUGUGGAUAUAGCAAUAUCCAGUUUCUACAUGAAACAGUUUGCAGUAUGGGAAACAAAAGAAGAAACAAGACAGAAAAAAGUGGCUAAGGCUGAUACUUUGACCAAUUUGGGUGCAACCGAUUCAGGUGGAGCUCUGACUGUCUGGAGCUGCUCGGAAGACAGUUGUGCUGGACCUGAGCACAAAACCCAACUUCAGUGAAAAGUGUGUAUGACUGAAGAGUUUCUUGGGUAACAUUUCAUGUUCUUU